CUCCCUGGAAAUGAGGAUUUCUUGGUGAGGAUAUCAAGAAGCCUUGACGGCUCCAAUUGUGCUCUACCCAAAUCAGGGAGAUUGCCUCCAAGGGAUGGUGAGGAAACCUCUCUGAAACUACUCCUAGGCGAUUUUUUCUUGUCAUCAGCUGCAGCCUCUGAAGCCNAGCCUCUUCAUUGAUACAAAGAGUAGAGAGAUCUAUUUUUUCUCCAACAAGAAGACCAGCA
rnacentral:misc_RNA from 1 species